rnacentral:rRNA from 1 species
UACGGGGGAGCAAGCGUUGUUCGGAUUUACUGGGCGUAAAGGGCGCGUAGGCGGCCUUCUAAGUCAGACGUGAAAUCCCCCGGCUUAACCUGGGAACUGCGUCUGAUACUGGGAGGCUUGAGUAUGGGAGAGGGAUGUAGAAUUCCAGGUGUAGCGGUGAAAUGCGUAGAUAUCUGGAGGAAUACCGGUGGCGAAGGCGGCAUCCUGGACCUUCUGACGCUGAGGCGGCGAAAGCUAGGGGAGCAAACGGG